AGUUUGAUCCUGGCUCAGGACGAACGCUGGCGGCGUGCCUAAUACAUGCAAGUAGAACGCUGAAGAGAGGAGCUUGCUCUUCUUGGAUGAGUUGCGAACGGGUGAGUAACGCGUAGGUAACCUGCCUUGUAGCGGGGGAUAACUAUUGGAAACGAUAGCUAAUACCGCAUAACAAUGGAUGACACAUGUCAUUUAUUUGAAAGGGGCAAUUGCUCCACUACAAGAUGGACCUGCGUUGUAUUAGCUAGUAGGUGAGGUAAUGGCUCACCUAGGCGACGAUACAUAGCCGACCUGAGAGGGUGAUCGGCCACACUGGGACUGAGACACGGCCCAGACUCCUACGGGAGGCAGCAGUAGGGAAUCUUCGGCAAUGGGGGCAACCCUGACCGAGCAACGCCGCGUGAGUGAAGAAGGUUUUCGGAUCGUAAAGCUCUGUUGUAAGUCAAGAACGGGUGUGAGAGUGGAAAGUUCACACUGUGACGGUAGCUUACCAGAAAGGGACGGCUAACUACGUGCCAGCAGCCGCGGUAAUACGUAGGUCCCGAGCGUUGUCCGGAUUUAUUGGGCGUAAAGCGAGCGCAGGCGGUUUGAUAAGUCUGAAGUUAAAGGCUGUGGCUCAACCAUAGUUCGCUUUGGAAACUGUCAAACUUGAGUGCAGAAGGGGAGAGUGGAAUUCCAUGUGUAGCGGUGAAAUGCGUAGAUAUAUGGAGGAACACCGGUGGCGAAAGCGGCUCUCUGGUCUGUAACUGACGCUGAGGCUCGAAAGCGUGGGGAGCGAACAGGAUUAGAUACCCUGGUAGUCCACGCCGUAAACGAUGAGUGCUAGGUGUUGGAUCCUUUCCGGGAUUCAGUGCCGCAGCUAACGCAUUAAGCACUCCGCCUGGGGAGUACGACCGCAAGGUUGAAACUCAAAGGAAUUGACGGGGGCCCGCACAAGCGGUGGAGCAUGUGGUUUAAUUCGAAGCAACGCGAAGAACCUUACCAGGUCUUGACAUCCCGAUGCUAUUUCUAGAGAUAGAAAGUUACUUCGGUACAUCGGUGACAGGUGGUGCAUGGUUGUCGUCAGCUCGUGUCGUGAGAUGUUGGGUUAAGUCCCGCAACGAGCGCAACCCCUAUUGUUAGUUGCCAUCAUUCAGUUGGGCACUCUAGCGAGACUGCCGGUAAUAAACCGGAGGAAGGUGGGGAUGACGUCAAAUCAUCAUGCCCCUUAUGACCUGGGCUACACACGUGCUACAAUGGUUGGUACAACGAGUUGCUAGUCGGUGACGGCGAGCUAAUCUCUUAAAGCCAAUCUCAGUUCGGAUUGUAGGCUGCAACUCGCCUACAUGAAGUCGGAAUCGCUAGUAAUCGCGGAUCAGCACGCCGCGGUGAAUACGUUCCCGGGCCUUAACUCACCGCCCGUCA
rnacentral:rRNA from 1 species